GUUGCUUUGGCUUCCAGGUUAAUCGUUCCACCAUUUGCGUCUAUGAGAUUUCCCAAAGGCCAUUUUUUUUUUCUUGUGGGAGAUGAAGGGGAAGGAGACCAUUCUGGAGGAUGAAGCAAGGCUGCCCUUGGUCUGGCUUUCAUCUCCUCUAUAUCACGUUGCUGUUUUAAGACAACAACCCAGGAGAUUUUGAUACCAAUAUUUUGACCUCAUGAUAUUCCGACACUGCAUUUAUGAAUAUACAUUUUCAAAUCAAAAUUAUA